UACGUAGGGUGCGAGCGUUAAUCGGAAUUACUGGGCGUAAAGUGUGUGCAGGCGGCCGGGCAAGUCGAGUGUGAAAGCCCCGGGCUUAACUUGGGAAUUGCGCUCGAAACUACUUGGCUGGAGUGUGGCAGAGGAAGGUGGAAUUCCAGGUGUAGCGGUGAAAUGCGUAGAGAUCUGGAGGAACACCGAUGGCGAAGGCAGCCUUCUGGGCCAACACUGACGCUCAUGCACGAAAGCGUGGGGAGCAAACAGG
rnacentral:rRNA from 1 species